GAAAAUCCGUCGACUUUAAAAAUCAUGAGGGUUCAA
rnacentral:tRNA from 4 species